rnacentral:lncRNA from 1 species
CGCUACCUAACUUAAAAUUCGAAUUUCAAAUAUCAAUUAAACCUUAAAUCGAGAUUUUUAACAAUUGGAGAAUGUAUUAUACACUAACUCAAAACAACAGAUCGAGUUAAGCAGCAGAGAAUUGAUAACAAAUUACAAACAUAAUGUGAAGUUCAAGGAUCCAAGGAUUAAACUAAACACAAUAUCAAGAGAUUUGCCAAACACAAAAUAUAAAGAGAUUUGCCAAACAGUGCACUAGCGUAAGGGAGCGGAAAUGGUCAGCAAGGAAAUGGUUUUCACUUUUUAAUCCGAUGUAGAAGCUAAUUAGUGACACUAACAUUCAAUUCAACAGUGAGAUCGAGCAAUUUACACAAAAGAAACGUUUCCGUUCACAAUAUCAAGAGAUCGAACAAUUCAGCAGCGAGAUAGAGUAAUGACAGUAGCAUUCAAUUCAAAAGAAAAACGAGAAUUACUUGGGCCAAGCGGGUCAGGAGACCGAGCUUCUUCCUCGUCGUACGACCUCGACGCACCGGAUCUCGACGUUGAACGACCACGGUUGAACCAGGCGCGAAUUUGCCCGGAUUGAACCUCAGACAGUGACUUCAAAUCGAGCCCAGAAAUCUAACUCAAGCAGCCACACUUUUUGAUUCACAAGAUCUCGAGCUCACACGACGGAUGUUCAAUGUCAAAUCGGAAACCUCAACGACACCAACUCGACUCUUCAACGAUGACUAAAACCGAAUCGGACUGAACUCAACAAAAAAUUCAACGAACAACAGCAGCGAAUUGACAUCACACUGCGGACCUCGACUUGGCGUCGCCAAACUCAAACAAGCCCGUAUUCAACCCCAAAGGAGCUCAACCAAUGAACUUCCGCCAUUAGAACUCCAACUCGUUUUCUGGUUUGAUUUUUACUCGUUUCGAAAUGAUAUUGAAUCUAAAGGAACUAGCAGAACGGAACCAGCAAAUCAGUUGUUAACGCAUAGAUACAAAGGGACGUGAACAAUGACUAUUUGUGCAAAAUCGAAGAAACAGAAAGACAUCAGUAGAGCAGACUAAGAGUGAGCUCUCUUCAAUUAAAUGUUUCCUUUGAGCAAUUUACACAAACAAAACGAAACCAUGGCCAUCUUUCACUAUGCGAAAAUCAGCAAGUAAACAUGAAUCCAUAAAUGAAAAUUUGCACGAACACAUCGACAAGUCACAAUAGGGACUCGAACUAACAGAAUUCAGCCUCGACUAACACCUCGGAUAGGAAUCCGAAUCGAAAGCGACAAGUCACUAUAGAGACUCGAACUAACAGAAUUCAGCCUCGACUAACACCUCGGAUAGGAAUCCGAAUCGAAAAUUAGAGGGAAACCAGAAUUCGACAUGAAAAUUGAAAGGAUUUGAAUUCGAAAGCAGAAUAAAACCAAAAUCUUGUCCGCUCAGUUCUCACCGUUUUUGGAGCUUAUGUUCUAUUUUUCGCACAAUACUCUCACUGUUCAGUCACUCUCCAUGCGUGUGUGCAUUUCCCGACGAGUUUCAGUGAAAGAGGGCUGGGUUGUGGCGUGAAGGAUUGGGUUCCUUUUCUUGUCAAUUGCCACUUUUUCAAUUUUUUCCGUCCCCUUUUUUUUCAGUAUUUUCGUGUAUCUUUUUUGUGUAGUUUUUUUCUUCCUUUUUUCUUGGGCAGAGAAUAAUUUUAUAGAGUGUGUGGAAUGAGCUGUUAUGUGGGGAGUUUUAUUUGGGGAGAUAGUACUAUAUGAGGUAAUAUUUUGGGGGAAGGUUUUAUGUGAGGAAAUAUUUUGGGGGAAGGUGUUAGGUGUGAGAAAUGAUUUAGGGAAAAGUAUUU